GCUGGCGGCAGGCUUAACACAUGCAAGUCGAGCGGGCGUAGCAAUACGUCAGCGGCAGACGGGUGAGUAACGCGUGGGAACGUACCUUUUGGUUCGGAACAACACAGGGAAACUUGUGCUAAUACCGGAUAAGCCCUUACGGGGAAAGAUUUAUCGCCGAAAGAUCGGCCCGCGUCUGAUUAGCUAGUUGGUGAGGUAAUGGCUCACCAAGGCGACGAUCAGUAGCUGGUCUGAGAGGAUGAUCAGCCACAUUGGGACUGAGACACGGCCCAAACUCCUACGGGAGGCAGCAGUGGGGAAUAUUGGACAAUGGGCGCAAGCCUGAUCCAGCCAUGCCGCGUGAGUGAUGAAGGCCCUAGGGUUGUAAAGCUCUUUUGUGCGGGAAGAUAAUGACGGUACCGCAAGAAUAAGCCCCGGCUAACUUCGUGCCAGCAGCCGCGGUAAUACGAAGGGGGCUAGCGUUGCUCGGAAUCACUGGGCGUAAAGGGUGCGUAGGCGGGUCUUUAAGUCAGGGGUGAAAUCCUGGAGCUCAACUCCAGAACUGCCUUUGAUACUG
rnacentral:rRNA from 1 species